rnacentral:rRNA from 1 species
GCGCAGCAGGCGAGAAACCUCCCCAAUGCCCGAAAGGGUGAGGGGGUCACCCCGAGUGCCACCCUCGUGGUGGCUUUUGCGGGGCCUAAAAAGCCCCGCGAAUAAGGGGAGGGCAAGACGGGUGUCAGCCGCCGCGGUAAUACCCGCUCCCCGAGUGGUGGGGACUAUUACUGGGCUUAAAGCGUCCGUAGCCGGCUGGGUGUGUCCCCCGUUAAAUCCACGGGCCUAACCCGUGGGCUGCGGGGGAUACUACCUGGCUUGGGGGUGGGAGAGGGCGGCGGUAUUCCCGGGGUAGGGGUAAAAUCCUCUGAUCCCGGGGAGGACCACCAGUGGCGAAGGCGGCCGCCCAGAACACGCCCGACGGUGAGGGACGAAAGCUGGGGGGAGCAAACGGGAUUAGAUACCCCUGUAGU